UACAGAGGUCUCAAGCGUUGUUCGGAUUCAUUGGGCGUAAAGGGUGCGUAGGCGGCGCGGUAAGUCGGGUGUGAAAUCUUGGAGCUUAACUCCGAAACUGCAUUCGAUACUGCCGUGCUUGAGGACUGGAGAGGAGACUGGAAUUUACGGUGUAGCGGUGAAAUGCGUAGAUAUCGUAAGGAAGACCAGUGGCGAAGGCGGGUCUCUGGACAGUUCCUGACGCUGAGGCACGAAGGUCAGGGGAGCAAACGGGAUUAGAACC
rnacentral:rRNA from 1 species